AUGUGUUGAAACUUCUUUCCACUCAGGGCUGGAAUGCACAGGUAUCCAUGAAACCACUUCAAAUGGUAUUGUGGGAUGUGAUAUUGACUUCCAUGAGGAUCCCUAUGGGAAAAAUGUCCUCUCUGGAGGAACCACCAUGUGUAUCCUGGGAUUUGGGAUCAUGUGCAGAAGGAGAGGACAGUUUGCCUCCAAGUACAAUGAAGAUUAAGUAAAGCUCCUGAUUUCUCUGCAAAUCUACAGCCAGAAAGUCUGGGCAGAGGUGCUGAACCUUGUCUAGAGUGUGACAGUGUGGCCAAGUCUCCAUCACACUGACCAGUGUGCAAGGCAGAGGAGUGAAAACCACCCAAAUUCCACAUCCCUCUGUGCUGGUUUCACAGGACAUUCCAGAAAACAACAGUCCUGGCACAGAGAAGACCAGAACUGUAACGUGGUGACAACAAGCAGUGAAAGGUGCAAGCUUUGAGGUGAAUUAAAUUUGUGAAGGUGGAAGCUGAGCCUGGCAACGUGAGGAGCUGCUGUGGAGGAGAAUGAGAUUAACAGGGUAAAAUAUUUCCUGUUUAAGGUUGGCCUCAGGCAAGAACGAGUUUGUCAGUGUAAUAUGUUGUUGAAUUUUAAUAUGGAAAUGUCUCCUGGCAUGUAUUUCAAACACACUACAAAUAGUGAUAUUGAUCUAACCUUCAAUUAAUGGGAGAGGUCCUCUGUGAAAAUCGGAUCUGGGUUUGAAUGGCAAAUAGCUUUAAUAUUCUGAGGACAGUGGAUCAUUUGCACAGCUCAGUAAGAGACUAUAAAUCACCAUGAUUAGGUUUUUUUUUUUUAUUAUCAUUUUAAUGCAGGCUUGCUUUCCCUGGAGCAAGGGAGCAGGAGUGUGGUAAAUCAUUAAAAAAUCAUGGAGACGGUGUCAGUAGGUAUGGACAACAAAUAAUCUACUUAUGCUAAAAGGAAUUAUUUGAAAUCCAUUCAUUCCUGCUCUCUGUUACCAUGUUUUUUAGGUAUCUGCUCUCUUUUGGGAUAGAAUGAGCACUCUCCCUUUUGCUUUUACACAAUCUAUGAGUGCCUUUCCACUUUUGGUCCUCACAGAGCAUCCAUCCUAAAGGCCAUGUUUUAGAGCAGUCUGAGACAGAACCAAAGCUGAUUAUUCCUUGAAUUGGGAGUAGCAAGAUUAUUCCUCAUGGCUUCUUCCAGCUGUGUCUUCUGUACGUUUUAUGUGCCUGUGUUUGUAUUUAUGUAUAAACCUUAGAUUGCUUCAUUGUUGCAGCCCUGCAGGAAAAAAAAAAAAAAAGAAAG